UUGACAAGUCAAAUAAUUUAAAAUAUUUUAUAAUUAUUAAAUAUAAAAAUAUAUGAACAACGUUCUUUAAUAAGUUAAGUUUUAAAAGUACAACGAUUGUUUUAUAUGAUGUCAGAACAAAAGGUUACGCUCCUAAAUUAUUAAUUUUCUCAUUAUUAAUUUUAUCUCAUUUAGUUCAAGUCUACGUCAUGUAUCUUGCAAAAAGUGUCGAGUCUAGACAUGAGAAGGAGUGUUAAAUAUAAAAAUAUUCUCUAACAGCUUAAAUUUUUAUAAGGCAGCGUUUGGUUAGGGGAUAGGAAUAGGAAUAGGCCCUUAUCCCCCCCUUUAUACCCAAACGCUAAUUUUUUAUCCGAGAAUAGUAGUUCUCGGUUAUCCCCACCAACACCUCUAUUUUCUAUAUAAAACUACCUAAAAUUGUUCUUAUCCCCGGGAACAACCCAAUUUUCAUCCAAACACUAUUUUUCUUAUCUCCAUACUUGUACCUAUCCCUGUAAUAGCUAGUUCUUGCUUAUACCCGAACCAAACGGUACCUUAGAGUACAACGAUUAUUUCACGAUAAUAAAUACAAUUG
rnacentral:lncRNA from 1 species